GUGCCAGCAGCCGCGGUAAGACAGAGGGUGCAAACGUUGUUCGGAAUUACUGGGCGUAAAGCGCGUGUAGGCGGCCGCGCAAGUCGGGCGUGAAAUCCCACGGCUCAACCGUGGAAGUGCACUCGAAACUGCGCAGCUUGAGUCCUGGAGAGGAAGGUGGAAUGCUUGGUGUAGAGGUGAAAUUCGUAGAUAUCAAGCGGAACACCGGUGGCGAAGGCGACCUUCUGGACAGUGACUGACGCUGAGACGCGAAAGCGUGGGGAGCAAACAGGAUUAGAUACCCUGGUAGUCC
rnacentral:rRNA from 1 species